rnacentral:rRNA from 1 species
AGAGUUUGAUCCUGGCUCAGGACGAACGUUGGCGGUGCGCUUAAUGCAUGCAAGUCGAGGGAGAACCAUUCGAUCCGUAAGGACUGGAUGGGGAAACCGGCGAACGGGUGCGUAACACGUGAGGAACCUGCCCCGAAGACCGGGAUAGCCCGAGGAAACUCGGAUUAAUACCGGAUACCCUCUUUGGACCACAUGGUCCGCUGAGGAAAUGGUCCGCCGCUUCGGGAUGGCCUCGCGGCCUAUCAGCUUGUUGGUGAGGUAACGGCUCACCAAGGCAAAGACGGGUAGCUGGUCUGAGAGGACGAUCAGCCACACUGGGACUGAGACACGGCCCAGACUCCUACGGGAGGCAGCAGCAGGGAAUAUUGCACAAUGGGCGAAAGCCUGAUGCAGCGACACCGCGUGCGGGAUGAAGGCCCUCGGGUUGUAAACCGCUUUCAGGAGGGACGAAAAUGACGGUACCUCCAGAAGAAGGCCCGGCCAACUACGUGCCAGCAGCCGCGGUAAUACGUAGGGGCCAAACGUUGUCCGGAUUUAUUGGGCGUAAAGGGCUCGUAGGCGGUUCAACAAGUCGAUCGUGAAAGCCCGGGGCUCAACCCCGGGACGCCGGUCGAAACUGUUGUGACUAGGGUCCGGUAGAGGUGAGUGGAAUUCUCGGUGUAGCGGUGGAAUGCGCAGAUAUCGAGAGGAACACCAGUU